GCAUCCACAUGGCCUCAGGUGUUCGCGCGGCAGCUCCGCCGGCCCCGGCCGGCCCCUCCCCGGCCCGCUCCCAGCCCGGCCCUCCACCGCGGCUGCCUCGCCCCCAGCCCGCGGCCAAGAGGCCAGCAACGCCGGUCCCCGCGGGGCUGCCAAGAACCUGGACCCCUCAGCACCUCAGGCCGCAACGACCGGCCUCCCGUGAAAGGGUCAUUCACUACCAAAGCUGUCCCGACGCAUAGGUUGGAACGGCUGCCUCAGAUGGUGGUACCUACCGUGUGCCAAUCCCUCUGCUAUGCAAAGUGACGCUAAUGAGGAGAGGGUGGGGUUGGACAUGUAUACCCUGCUUUUCGCACACUCAGAAACCUCUCCACUUUGGACCUCACAGAUACAAGAGGAAGGAGAAGAGUUUGGAUUAUGUGUCCCUAAAACUACUGAUUCUAAACUAAGCCAGCAUCCAGCCUAGAUGUUGGGGAGUCUGUGGCUUCCCCUCAUAAAGCAACCCAACUUGAGAGGAAACUGGAAUCCAAAACAUGCUUUGGGUGUAAGGUCUCACUUUGCCUCAAGGGGACAAGAAGGAUACAAGAGAGCUCACUAGGAACAGGAUGCAGAGAAACACUGGGUCCAGUCCCGGCCUCCUUUCCCAUGCUCUCAAGGACAACUGCCAAGCACAUGUGUGAUGCCUUGGGAACAGAGAGCACCAGGAGUCAUGGAUUCUCCAACUCACCACCAGUCCUUGACUCUCUUUAGUGAGCCACUCAUCCCUACCGCCAACUCACUGCAGUCCCAUGAGUGCUUCUCCCUGGCUAAACAGUGUGCGGUGGCUUCCAAAGUCCCACUCUCCUGGACACAAAGCCCUCUCUUGGCUUAGCUCAAAGUGCCAACCUCCACUCCCUUGUUUCAUUGUUUCUGCCAAACCAAACAAGUUGUGUCCCUGGCCUAGCAAAUUCCCAGAGGCAGAGGAGCCUGCCUCUGCAGAAACUAAGGUAUUUCUACCUUGCUUUUUCAGGUCCAACUCAAAUGCUGCCUCCUUAAUAACCAUUCAUUCAUUCAUUCAUUCACUCAACACCGGCUGACUCUUUAUCCUAUUCCAAGCAUUGAAUAAAGGGUCCUUGUUGUCAUGA
rnacentral:lncRNA from 1 species